AGUCGACGGCAGCGCGGGAGCAAUCCUGGCGGCGAGUGGCGAACGGGUGAGUAAUAUAUCGGAACGUACCUUUCAGUGGGGGAUAACGUAGCGAAAGUUACGCUAAUACCGCAUAUUCUGUGCGCAGGAAAGCAGGGGAUCGCAAGACCUUGCGCUGAUUGAGCGGCCGAUAUCAGAUUAGCUAGUUGGUGAGGUAAAGGCUCACCAAGGCGACGAUCUGUAGCGGGUCUGAGAGGAUGAUCCGCCACACUGGAACUGAGACACGGUCCAGACUCCUACGGGAGGCAGCAGUGGGGAAUUUUGGACAAUGGGGGCAACCCUGAUCCAGCCAUGCCGCGUGAGUGAAGAAGGCCUUCGGGUUGUAAAGCUCUUUCGGCCGGGAAGAAAUCGCACAGGUUAAUACCCUGUGUGGAUGACGGUACCGGAAUAAGAAGCACCGGCUAACUACGUGCCAGCAGCCGCGGUAAUACGUAGGGUGCGAGCGUUAAUCGGAGUUACUGGGCGUAAAGCGUGCGCAGGCGGUUUUGUAAGACAGGCGUGAAAUCCCCGGGCUCAACCUGGGAACUGCGUUUGUGACUGCAAGGCUAGAGUAUGGCAGAGGGGGGUGGAAUUCCACGUGUAGCAGUGAAAUGCGUAGAGAUGUGGAGGAACACCGAUGGCGAAGGCAGCCCCCUGGGCCAAUACUGACGCUCAUGCACGAAAGCGUGGGUAGCAAACAGGAUUAGAUACCCUGGUAGUCCACGCCCUAAACGAUGUCAACUAGGUGUUGGGUGGGUAAAACCAUUUAGUACCGGAGCUAACGCG
rnacentral:rRNA from 1 species